rnacentral:miRNA from 1 species
UGUCUAGUUGCACCUUAGAGACCAACUAAGUUUGUUCGGGUAAAAGCUUUUGUGUGCAUGCACACUUCUUCAGCUUAUAUCCAGAACAAACUUAGUUUGUCUCUAAGGUGCUACUGGACA